UGGGGAAUUUUGGACAAUGGGCGAAAGCCUGAUCCAGCAAUGCCGCGUGUGUGAAGAAGGCCUUCGGGUUGUAAAGCACUUUUGUCCGGAAAGAAAUCCUUGGCUCUAAUACAGUCGGGGGAUGACGGUACCGGAAGAAUAAGCACCGGCUAACUACGUGCCAGCAGCCGCGGUAAUACGUAGGGUGCAAGCGUUAAUCGGAAUUACUGGGCGUAAAGCGUGCGCAGGCGGUUUGCUAAGACCGAUGUGAAAUCCCCGGGCUCAACCUGGGAACUGCAUUGGUGACUGGGCAGGCUAGAGUAUGGCAGAGGGGGGUAGAAUUCCACGUGUAGCAGUGAAAUGCGUAGAGAUGUGGAGGAAUACCGAUGGCGAAGGCAGCCCCCUGGGCCAAUACUGACGCUCAUGCACGAAAAGCGUGGGGAGCAAACAGGAUUAGAUACCCUGGUAGUCCACGCCCUAAAACGAUGUCAACUAGUUGUUGGGGAUUCAUUUCCUUAGUAACGUAGCUAACGCGUGAAGUUGACCGCCUGGGGAGUACGGUCGCAAGAUUAAAACUCAAAGGAAUUGACGGGG
rnacentral:rRNA from 1 species